rnacentral:rRNA from 1 species
UACAGAGGGGGCAAGCGUUUGUUCGGAAUUACUGGGCGUAAAGGGCGCGUAGGCGGCCAUGCGUGUCUUCCGUGAAAUCCCUCGGCUUAACUGAGGACGUGCGGAAGAAACUGCAAGGCUUGAGUCCGGGAGAGGGGGGUGGAAUUCCCAGUGUAGCGGUGAAAUGCGUAGAUAUUGGGAGGAACACCGGUGGCGAAGGCGGCCCCCUGGACCGGUACUGACGCUGAGGCGCGAAAGCGUGGGUAGCAAACGGG